rnacentral:lncRNA from 7 species
ACGUUUGUUUUGGAGUGCAGGCGUGAAUAGUCCUUUCUGUCCUGCUUUGAGUACUGCUGUUGGGUGCCUUGGGGGGACCUUAAGGGAGCUCGGAAGUUGAGACGUGGUGAGUGCGAGAUCACUGCCCACAAAGGGGAGGAGCAGGCGGAUGAACAGCCAGAGCUGCAAUGGUGGAUCCUCCUCCAGGGCUGCAUGGGACGACAGAUAGAUGAGGCUCUAGGACGGGCACAAAUGCUACCCGAAUGCAAACCACUCCGGAGAUCUGUAAAAGGACUGGCCCCGGACAGGAAGCACACUUUAAACUAGAGGCGGGGUAAGACUCGUGGGCCAAUCAAGGCUUCCGAACAGAACUGCCAUUCUGGCAAUGAGGCGGGGUCUUCCGGUUGCCUGCUGGAAGUUUGUUUUUGCUCUGCAGGAUUGAAGGGUUCUCCCUAUGCUGCUUUGAGCGCUGCUAUUGGGUGCCUUGAGGGGACCUCAAGUAAGCUCCAUUUUUGAAACAUGAGUCAAAGCCCCGGUGAAGAUUCUGUGACGGUUCAUUGUAUAAUUUAUGAUGAUGAAGAUUGAGUUGCAUUUUGCGGAAAAGAGAUGUUGAGAUAUCUAAGGCAUUGAGAAAUCUGUCAUGCAGACAUGCACACAGGGAGAGGGAGUACCCAAACUGAUGAGAACUUACAGGAAUUGGACCAUCUAAGCCCUUAGAAAGUGAAGUCCACUGUGUCUCAAACAAAGAUCUUCAUCCACAUCUUGAAGUUUGAAGUUUGGCCAAGAAUAUACAAAAUAGAUUCUCUUUCUCAGGAUGGCAAGUGUUCAUGACAUCAAUACUACCCAAGGCUUCAGAGUCAUUGGAUUGCAGGAUGCAGUGACUUAUGAUGAUGUGCGUGUGAACUUCACUGAGGAAGAGUGGGAUUUGCUGGAUCCUUCCCAGAAAAGUCUCUAUGAAGAGGUGAUGCUAGAGACAUACCAGAACAUCACUGCUAUAGGCUACAAUUGGGAAGACCAUCAUAUUGAAGAACAUUGUCAAAGUUCUAGAAGACAUGAAAGGCAUGAAAGAAUUCAUAUUGGAGAGAAACCGUAUGAACGUAACCAAUGGGGUAAAGCCUUUGCAAGUGACAAUCAUCUCCAAAUACGUAAAAGAACAAAUACUGGAGAGAAACCUUAUGAAUGUAAUCAAUGUGGUAAAGCCUUUUCACAACAGAGUAGUCUCCAGUAUCAUAAAAGAACAUAUGCUGGACAGAAACCUUAUGAAUGUAAUCAGUGUGGUAAAGCCUUGUCAUGUCAAAGAAAUCUCCAAUAUCAUAAAAGAACACAUACUGGAGAGAAACCCUAUGAAUGUAAUCAGUGUGGUAAAGCCUUCACACAUUACAAUAAUCUCCGAUAUCAUAAAAGAACACAUACUGGAGAAAAACCUUAUGAAUGUAAUCAGUGUGGUAAAGCCUUUGCACGUUACAAUAAUCUCCAGUGUCAUAAAAGAACACAUACUGGAGAGAAACCUCAUGUGUGUGAUCAAUGUGGUAAAACCUUUGCAUGGCAGUAUACUCUCCAAAAACAUAAAAGAAUACAUACUGGAGAGAAACCUUAUCAAUGUAGUCAAUGUGAUAAAGCAUUUUCAGAACACAGUAGUCUUCAAUAUCAUAAAAGAACACAUACUGGAGAGAAACCUUAUGAGUGUGAUCAAUGUGGUAAAGCCUUUGCUUGGCAGUGUAGUCUCCAUAUCCAUAAAAGAACACAUUCUGGAGAGAAACCUUAUGAGUGUAAUGAAUGUGGUAAAGCCUUUGCACAUCACACUAGUCUCCAAAGUCAUAAAAGAAUACAUACUGGAGAGAAACCUUAUCAGUGUGAUCAGUGUGGUAAAGCAUUUGCACAUCAAAAUAAUCUCCAAUAUCAUAAAAGAACACAUACUGGAGAGAAACCAUAUGAAUGCAAUCAAUGUGGUAAAGCCUUUGCAAGUCACAGUCAUCUCCAAAUACAUGAAAGAACACAUUUUAGAAAAAA